rnacentral:sRNA from 1 species
CAGUCUGUCGCGAACGCAUUGUGGAUUGUCAAGUAUUACUCAAGAAAUUCAGUUCAUGAAGAUAAGAAGUUUCUUGACAAAUACAUGCCCCAGUUCAUGAAACAUCUUCAUUAUAGAAUAAUUGAUGUGAGCACUGUUAAAGAACUGUGCAGACGCUGGUAUCCUGAAGAAUAUGAAUUUGCACCAAAGAAGGCUGCUUCUCAUAGGGCACUUGAUGACAUUAGUGAAAGCAUCAAAGAGCUUCAGUUUUACCGAAAUAACAUCUUCAAGAAAAAAAUAGAUGAAAAGAAGAGGAAAAUUAUAGAAAAUGGGGAAAAUGAGAAGACCGUGAGUUGAUGCCAGUUAUCAUGCUGCCACUACAUAGUUAUCUGGAGGCAACUUCUGGUGGUUUUUUUUUCUCACGCUGAUGGCUUGGCAGAGCACCUUCGGUUAACUUGCAUCUCCAGAUUGAUUACUCAAGCAGACAGCACACGAAAUACUAUUUUUCUCCUAAUAUGCUGUUUCCAUUAUGACACAGCAGCUCCUUUGUAAGUACCAGGUCAUGUCCAUCCCUUGGUACAUAUAUGCAUUUGCUUUUAAACCAUUUCUUUUGUUUAAAUAAAUAAAUAAGUAAAUAAAGCUAGUUC